rnacentral:rRNA from 1 species
AUGGCCGACGAGGAGGGUUGCAUGCAUGCGGUGCAGCUGGCGCUGUCGUCUGUGCUACCGAUGACGCUCAAGGCUGCCAUCGAGCUGGGCCUGCUGGAGAUCCUCGUGGGCGCCGGCGGGGAGGCGCUGAGUCCGGAGGAGGUGGCCGCGAAGCUGCCGGCCGAGGCCAACCCUGACGCGGCGUCCAUGGUGGACCGCAUGCUGCGGGUGCUGGCCUCUCACGAUAUCGUGUCGUGCAUGGUGGAGGAGGGCAAAGACGGCAACCUCUCCCGCCGUUACAGCCCGGCGCCGGUGUGCAAGUGGCUCACCCCCAACGAGGACGGCGUCUCCAUGGCCCCGUACGUCGUCGUCGCCCAGGACAAGGUCUUCAUGGAGCCCUGGUGCUACAUGAAGAAGGCGGUCCUGGAGGGCGGCAGCCCGUUCAACAUGGCGUACGGGAUGUCAUGGUACGACUACGCUGGCACGGACCCGCGCUUCAACCGCCUCUUCAACGAGGCCAUGAGACACCACUCCGUCAUCAUCACCAAGAAGCUCCUUGAACUAUACACCGGCUUCGAGGGUGUCGGCACCCUCGUCGAUGUCGGCGGCGGCAUCGGCACCACCAUCCACGCCAUCACCUCCAAGUACCCGAGAAUCAAAGGGAUCAACUUCGACCUCUCCCAUGUCAUCUCCGAGGCGCCGCCCUACCCCGGCGUGCAGGUGGAGCACGUCGGCGGCGACAUGUUUGAGAAGGUGCCCUCCGGCGACGCCAUCCUCAUGAAGUGGAUCCUUCUCUCCUUUACGGAUGAUAGGUGUGUGGCGUUGCUCAAGAACUGCUACAACGCCCUGCCCGUGCACGGCAAGGUGAUCAACGUGGAGUGCAUACUGCCUAGGAACCUGGACGCCACACACCGCGUGCAGGGGUGCGUGAGCGCCGACAUGAGCAUGCUCGCCAACAGCCCCGACGGCAAGGAGAGGUACCUCACCGACUUCGAGAGGCUGGCCAAGGAAGCCGGCUUCGCCAGCGUCAAGGCCACCUACAUCUACACCAACUUCUGGGCCAUUGAGUACACCAAGUAG